rnacentral:piRNA from 1 species
UGCGAGGAGAUGUCUGGACGAGGGAAGC